rnacentral:sRNA from 1 species
GGAAGGUCAAUGAUAGCAUCUGCCUAGAGUCAAACCUCCGUGCUUCUCAGACAGUGCCUUUUCACCAUGAGUGGGUGCCCAUUUUUAGGAAACAACUUUGGAUAUACUUUGAAAAAACUCCCCGUAGAAGGCAGCGAAGAAGACAAAUCACAAACUGGUGUGAAUAGAGCCAGCAAAGGAGGUCUUAUCUAUGGGAACUACCUGCAUUUGGAAAAAGUUUUGAAUGCACAAGAACUGCAAAGUGAAACAAAAGGAAAUAAAAUCCAUGAUGAACAUCUUUUUAUCAUAACUCAUCAAGGUAAGUUGCACAAAGGUUUUGGACAAUAUUCCACAGGCAUUUCUCAUUGAUAACGAGGAAAGCUACAAUUUUUAAACUACAAAAUGAUGAAAGAUCAUGGAAUCACCUCUGUUAGAAAUGUUUGAGAAUAUUUUGCUGCCAGAUGAAUUCUCAUAGGACUGAUAUAAGGAUUUCAAUAGUCUUCUUUAUGUUACUCCUCUGCUAAUAGGUGAAGUAGGACUUUAGCUUUGUUCUUAACUCCAAGGGGACUUUCUGCCUCUUGGAAUUUCACUAGGAAUUCACAAGUGAAGAUGUUACGUUUCUCACUUCUGAACACUAAAAAACUAUUUUCAAGAUCAUUGAAAUUUAUGCUGGAUUGACAUAAUCCUAUACAAAUCUGGUAAUAAAGACAAAUGUAAAUUUUGUCCAAAAAUGUAUGUUUAUCCUUUCCAGAUUUCUAUAAUAAUUUCUGGGCAGUGGGGUUUUUUUUAGCCUAUGUGUUCAUGACUUCAGAAGUUUAGAAGGUCCCUGAACUCCAAAAUUAUGCGCAAAUUUUCAUGACUAUUAUCUUAAAGAGGUCUGUGACCCCAAAAUAUUAGUAACAUUUACUUUAAGCUUUUCAGUACCACUAUACUGACCUCUUAAUGACUGGAGCCCC